rnacentral:piRNA from 1 species
AGAGAAGGAACGGUGGAUCCGUGCCAAG